UACGAAGGGUGCAAGCGUUACUCGGAAUUACUGGGCGUAAAGCGUGCGUAGGUGGUUUUUUAAGUCCGUUGUGAAAGCCCUGGGCUCAACCUGGGAAUGGCAGUGGAUACUGGAAAGCUAGAGUGCGGUAGAGGGUAGUGGAAUUCCCGGUGUAGCAGUGAAAUGCGUAGAGAUCGGGGGGAACACCAGUGGCGAAGGCGGCUACCUGGACCAGCACUGACACUGAGGCACGAAAGCGUGGGGAGCAAACAGG
rnacentral:rRNA from 1 species